rnacentral:piRNA from 1 species
UUGGAGGUACACUACAUUUUCUUCAGU